rnacentral:rRNA from 1 species
AUUGAACGCUGGCGGCAGGCCUAACACAUGCAAGUCGAGCGGAUGAAGGGAGCUUGCUUCUGGAUUCAGCGUCGGACGGGUGAGUAAUGCCUAGGAAUCUGCCUGGUAGUGGGGGAUAACGUCCGGAAACGGGCGCUAAUACCGCAUCCGUCCUGAGGGAGAAAGUGGGGGUUCUUCGGACCUCACGCUAUCAGAUGAUCCUAGGUCGGAUUAGCUAGUUGGUGGGGUAAAGGCCUACCAAGGCGCCGAUCCGUAACUGGUCUGAGAGGAUGAUCAGUCACACUGGAACGGGAAAACGGUCCAGACUCCUACGGGAGGCAGCAUUGGGGAAUAUUGGACAAUGGGCGAAAGCCUGAUGCAGCAAUGCCGCGUGUGUGAAGAAGGUCUUCGGAUUGUAAAGCACUUUAAGUUGGGAGGAAGGGCAGUAAGUUAAUACCUUGAUGUUUUGACGUUACCAACAGAAUAAGCACCGGCUAACUUCGUG